rnacentral:siRNA from 1 species
UGCUGAGAAUCGUUUCUCCUG